GUGAGGAAUAUUGGUCAAUGGGCGGAAGCCUGAACCAGCCAAGUAGCGUGCAGGACGACGGCCCUAUGGGUUGUAAACUGCUUUUAUACGGGGAUAAAGUGCGCCACGUGUGGAGCAUUGCAGGUACCGUAUGAAUAAGGACCGGCUAAUUCCGUGCCAGCAGCCGCGGUAAUACGGAAGGUCCGGGCGUUAUCCGGAGUUAUUGGGUUUAAAGGGAGCGCAGGCCGGAAGCAAAGCGUGCCGUGAAAUGUAGAUGCUCAACAUCUGAAUUGCGGCGCGAACUGGUUUUCUUGAGUGCAUACGAGGUAGGCGGAAUUUGUGGUGUAGCGGUGAAAUGCUUAGAUAUCACGAAGAACUCCGAUUGCGAAGGCAGCCUACCAGGAUGUAACUGACGCUAAAGCUCGAAAGUGCGGGUAUCGAACAGGAUUAGAUACCCGAGUAGUCC
rnacentral:rRNA from 1 species